rnacentral:rRNA from 1 species
UCCUACGGGGGGCAGCAGUGGGGGAUAUUGCACAAUGGGGGCAACCCUGAUGCAGCGACGCCGCGUGAGCGAUGGAGUACUUCGGUAUGUAAAGCUCUGUCAGCAGGGAAGAGAAUGACGGUACCUGACCAAGAAGCCCCGGCUAAAUACGUGCCAGCAGCCGCGGUAAUACGUAUGGGGCAAGCGUUAUCCGGAUUUACUGGGUGUAAAGGGAGCGUAGGCGGCAGGGCAAGCCAGGAGUGAAAGCCCGGGGCCCAACCCCGGGACUGCUCUUGGAAUUGCGUGGCUGGAGUGCAGGAGGGGCA